rnacentral:rRNA from 1 species
CGCACAAGCGGUGGAGCAUGUGGUUUAAUUCGAUGCAACGCGAAGAACCUUACCUACUCUUGACAUCCAGAGAACUUUCCAGAGAUGGAUUGGUGCCUUCGGGAACUCUGAGACAGGUGCUGCAUGGCUGUCGUCAGCUCGUGUUGUGAAAUGUUGGGUUAAGUCCCGCAACGAGCGCAACCCUUAUCCUUUGUUGCCAGCGGUUCGGCCGGGAACUCAAAGGAGACUGCCAGUGAUAAACUGGAGGAAGGUGGGGAUGACGUCAAGUCAUCAUGGCCCUUACGAGUAGGGCUACACACGUGCUACAAUGGCGUAUACAAAGAGAAGCGACCUCGCGAGAGCAAGCGGACCUCAUAAAGUACGUCGUAGUCCGGAUUGGAGUCUGCAACUCGACUCCAUGAAGUCGGAAUCGCUAGUAAUCGUAGAUCAGAAUGCUACGGUGAAUACGUUCCCGGGCCUUGUACACACCGCCCGUCACACCAUGGGAGUGGGUUGCAAAAGAAGUAGGUAGCUUAACCUUCGGGAGGGCGCUUACCACUUUGUGAUUCAUGACUGGGGUGAAGUCGUAACAAGGUAACCGUAGGGGAACCUGCGGUUGGAUCACCUCCUUA